rnacentral:rRNA from 1 species
GAUGAACGCUGGCGGCGUGCUUAAUACAUGCAAGUCGAGCGAACGGACGAGAAGCUUGUUUCUCUGAUGUUAGCGGCGGCCGGGUGAGUAACACGUGGAUAACCUCCUUAUAAGACUGGGAUAAUUUCGGGAAACCGGAGCUAAUACCGGAUGAUAUUUUGAACCGCUUGGUUCAUAAGUGAAAGACGGUCUUGCUGUCACUUAUAGAUGGAUCCGCGCUGCAUUAGCUAGUUGGUAAGGUAACGGCUUACCAAGGCAACGAUGCAUAGCCGACCUGAGAGGGUGAUCGGCCACACUGGAACUGAGACACGGUCCAGACUCCUACGGGAGGCAGCAGUAGGGAAUCUUCCGCAAUGGGCGAAAGCCUGACGGAGCAACGCCGCGUGAGUGGUGAAGGUCUUCGGAUCGUAAAACUCUGUUAUUAGGGAAGAACAUAUGUGUAAGUAACUGUGCACAUCUUGACGGUACCUAAUCAGAAAGCCACGGCUAACUACGUG